rnacentral:rRNA from 1 species
UCUGUAGGUGAACCUGCGGAAGGAUCAUUCACAAUAAGUGUUUAUGGCACUUUCAAAUCCAUACCCACCUUGUGUGCAAUGUAUAAGAGUCCUUUCCAACUCGGAUUGGGCUUGAUUUUUCUCUCACACGUCUUCAAUUUGCAAGUCUAAGCUUUCAGAGUAAUCAAAAAACUCGAAUACAACUUUCAACAACGGAUCUCUUGGCUCUCGCAUCGAUGAAGAACGCAGCGAAAUGCGAUACGUAGUGUGAAUUGCAGAAUUCAGUGAAUCAUCGAAUCUUUGAACGCACAUUGCGCCCUUUGGUAUUCCAAAGGGCAUGCCUGUUCGAGCGUCAUUUGUACCCUCAAGCUUUGCUUGGUGUUGGGCGUCUUGUCUCCAGUCCGCUGGAGACUCGCCUUAAAGUCAUUGGCAGCCGGCCUACUGGUUUCGGAGCGCAGCACAAGUCGCACUCUUUUCCAGCCAAGGUCAGCGUCCAACAAGCCUUUUUUCAACUUUUGACCUCGGAUCAGGUAGGGAUACCCGCUGAACUUAA